GACGAACGCUGGCGGCGUGCUUAACACAUGCAAGUCGAACGGAAAGGCCCUGCUUUUGUGGGGUGCUCGAGUGGCGAACGGGUGAGUAACACGUGAGUAACCUGCCCUUGACUUUGGGAUAACUUCAGGAAACUGGGGCUAAUACCGGAUAGGAGCUCCUGCUGCAUGGUGGGGGUUGGAAAGUUUCGGCGGUUGGGGAUGGACUCGCGGCUUAUCAGCUUGUUGGUGGGGUAGUGGCUUACCAAGGCUUUGACGGGUAGCCGGCCUGAGAGGGUGACCGGCCACAUUGGGACUGAGAUACGGCCCAGACUCCUACGGGAGGCAGCAGUGGGGAAUAUUGCACAAUGGGCGGAAGCCUGAUGCAGCAACGCCGCGUGCGGGAUGACGGCCUUCGGGUUGUAAACCACUUUCGCCUGUGACGAAGCGUGAGUGACGGUAAUGGGUAAAUAAGCACCGGCUAACUACGUG
rnacentral:rRNA from 1 species